AUGCCAUUUUAUAUAUUCUUUUGCAUACGUGUUGUUUUUAUUUGGCUUCGCCGCUUUAUUCUCCAAUCAGAUUCCGAUUUGUGGCCCGCUUCCCAGAUCCUUCACCCACCGUCUUUCUUAUUGCACAUCUUCCCCACCGCCUUUGUGUUCGAACAGUCCCGGUUUCCUAGUGAUUUUAUCCCCGCACCAAUCGAUCCUAAGUUUCUUCAUUCCACCGCUUCUUAUCCAAACCUUCUGUUCUCUUUCUUCCUUCCUUCUUACACCGAUUUCGUCCCCCCUGAUUUCGUCUCCUUCCCACUUCCGGUUGUUGAUAAGGGUGAUUAGGCUUUCACCGACAACAAUUCUAGCCUACAAAAGCCAUCGACUUCCACACCCGUCUGCUACUAAUGGGUUCUAUCAAUUUCAAUAACAAAUUUUCGAUUUCCCUAUAUGUAUAGACCUAAUUAUUACACAGAUUUAAGCUAUCAGUUGCAGGGAAAAUUGGUGAAGGGUUUUCACAUUACAUUUAUUCUCCAAUUAAAGCAAGGUGCAUUUGGAACCGCCCGAUGAGCAAGAUGAUCGGAGCUGGUUGUGUUUCGGCAGAGCAUAAUGCGAUUUCAUGGAUGCAAGCUCGAUUUUCUCUUCUUUUAUCAAGUUACAGCUUCUUAAGUUAUUUAUCUUCAGUUAUUUCUUAUAGAAGGGAAAAUUGGUGAAGGGUUUUCACAUUACAUUUAUUCUCCAAUUAAAGCAAGGUGCAUUUGGAACCGCCCGAUGAGCAAGAUGAUCGGAGCUGGUUGUGCUUUGGCAGAGCAUAAUGCGAUUCCAUGGAUGCAAGCUCAAUUUUCUCUUCUUUUAUCAAGUUACGGCUUCUUAAGUUAUUUAUCUUCAGUUAUUUCAGUCAAUUGGUUGUUAGAUUUUGGAAUUUUUUUUGUUUUUUUGUUAUAUUGGAUUGCAAAAUCCUACAGAGUAACUUCAAAUUUAAAUUCCUUAUGAAACAUUCCUCAUUGACUUCUUUGGAUGAAAGUCGAACAUGUUUGAUUUUACCAAAAAGAAUGAAUACACAAAUGGUUGUUGUACUGCACAUGAGGUUCUUUAAAUUUUUUAAACUUAAAUUUCUUUAAUGUCCAUGGUCAAUUCUGGAGCCAAAGCUAAUUGUGCUCAGUUUUUAUCACCGUUGUCAAAUCCGAUUGGUUUUAUUAAGAUAUUAUGUGAGCACAUUUGAAUGCUUUAGUUUUGUAUAUGUUUCGUCAUUCACCUAUUGGAAUUGAAGAUAAAACAAAAGAAGGUUGAAGCAAAGACAAAAAAGGUAUAUUUCAUUUUCGUCAGAUUUUACGGUUUCCAUGUUCCAGAACUUGGGUAGUAACAUCUACAGUGGAAAUCACAUUGUAAGUGUGUUAAAAGAUCAUUUUACAAAUUUUAGAUUUCACACAUAUUUUAAAAAAGUUUCCACCAUUUGUUUUAUUUAUCUACUAUAACAUGCUACUUUAAUUUCUGUCUAUUACAACUUUUUUUUCAUAACUAUUUUAAACCUCAUAUGCAUGCCAUAUUAUUCAAUAGCAUCCUACUUUACUAUUGUAGAUUAGAUUGACUUUUUGGUUGACUUUUAUGUACCAUUAUUCUAAUUUGUAGCACAUCUCUAACAAUUCCUUUAAUACGGCGCAACAAACUUCAAUGGACAAUGUGAGAGGUGUAGUUAUUAAAGAAAAGGGUGCAGAGAUUUUCAAGUAAUAAUAAUAGUAAAGGAAUUCCAUGGAAGAGUAUUUUAGAUUUUGGAGAGGAUGUGUUCCACAAAAGUCGUACUACAAUCGACCUAAAAGAUAAAUGGAGAAACUUAUGCAAAGGAAGCCCUACCGAAAAGAAGCAAAAACUCUAAAAUUGUGAUCAUAUUGCACCUGCACUGUUUUUAUAUUUAAAAAAAAUUUAAUUUUUACAGUUUUAGGACGACAUUUGCCCCUGAACACUGUUUUUAUAUUAUUAAAAAUGAAUUUAUAUAGUUUUAGGACGAUAUUACCCCUACACACUCUUUUAAUAUUAAAAAAAAUAAAUGUUUGCAUUUUUAGGGCCAUAUUGCCGCACACUUUUUAUAUUAAUAAAAUUAAUUUUUUUCAGCUUUAGGACCGUAUUGCCCCUGCACACUAUUAUUAUAUUAAUAAUAUUCAAUUUUAUUAAUGAAAUUCAGUUUUUACAGUUUAAGUUAAUGUAGGUAAUAGGUAUUGAUGUUUCAGAUUUAUAUCGUUUUAUGUUUGAAUCCAAAAAAUUCAAAGUUUAUUAUUCUAUUUUUUUCUCCUUUGUUGUAGGUUGACAUCAUGAAGAUGCCAUUUCAUGGUAACAGAAUUUGUAUGCAGUUUAUACUGGCUGUUUGCUAUUAAUGUGGUGCGAUGCUACAAAGAGGUGUAUGACCAAGUGUAGGAGAUUGAACUCGGGUUUGAGUAGCAAUUAAUGCAUCGGUUGCUAUAGUGCGAAAGAUAAUUGCUUCUCGAGUACUUGCAAAACCAAAAAGAUACUCACCACUUGAUAAAGCAAAUCUCAUUGAUUUAUAUACAAGAUUUUGCAAUUUCCAGUUUUGCACAUCAUUAAUUUUAUGUUCUCACUGAAAGGGAUUGUCAAAAAGCUAAAAUAUAUUAUUUGUUCACUACAUAAGGGAUGACUUCAAGUUUAACAAUAAAUUUCUCAGUUAUUCAUUUCUUUAGUGUAGAAUUGAAGUUUGAACAUCGAAAUAGUAAAGAUUGUAGCUACGGUCCUCUGUAUGAGUGGCAACUCUAUAUAACGUUGAAUGGAUAUUACGGGAUUUCAUAGGUUCACUACAAGGAUAGACAAGUGGUCUAACUGCUGAAGGUUGUGGUCUGCAAAAAAUCGGUUUCCAUUAGAUUAUAUACAGAAAAUCAAAUUGGGGAUAGGAAAAUUAAGUGAUUACUAAUACAAGCAAGUAACACUCCAAUAGCCCCAAAAAAGGUUUCAACUAUUUUUUCCAGGAGUCAAGCAAUGCAAAAAUUGAUUCAACUUCAUGCCGUUGAAAAUUGAUUUGAAAUUGUUCCAUGUUAAUGAAUGCCAGAUGGCAUUGACGUCUGUUUUAAAUCCUCUAAAUCACAAAACGAUCCUCUGUGCUUGAAAUUUCUAUUUUGCUGGUGUUCCUGUUGGUGGCCAACAAAAGCCCUAAAAGCCCUAAAUCGAUUUCACUUCUCCCAAACGCUUUCAAACAAAAAUAGGAAGAAAUCGAAGGUGAAUUCCUGCAUGGCUUCGAUUUUGAAGUUUGGUACCAUUGACGAUCGUGCUGAUAAUCUUUAGCAAAAGAUAUCAUUCAAGAGAAACAGUGAAAUGGAAUACAGAUGAUUUCAGAAUAUGUUUGUCGACAAUGAUUGGGAUUCUUAAUUCCUUCUGUAGGAGUUCUUCAGGAGUUUUCACUUUCAGAGGCGCCUUCGUUCUCAUAGUGACGAGAGUAUAUUUGUAAAUUCAUACGCAAAGAUCUUUAUAGGUUGAGUGAUGUUCCUCUUGGUCAACCUUACGCACCAUUCUGUCCCUUCAAAUUUUGAAAAUCAGGUAGCAUCUCUUAAAAUAUAUAUAUAUAUAUAUAUAUAUAUAUAUAUAUAUAUAUAUAUAUAUAUAUAUAUAUAUAUAUAUAUAUAUAUAUAUAUAUAUUUGUUUAGUGUUUUUUUUAAAGAGAUAUUUGUUUUCUGUUUUUAAUUAUUAACCUAGAAUGACAUCCACAUUAGAUUAAACGAUUAAAAGAAGUAGUGUUUUUAAUUAUAUGUGUUCUGUCUGUGUCUGAUUCUCUUUGGCUGGUACUCUCAAACUGAUGUACUCAAAACAUCCAACAGAGGAGGGAGAGUUGUGACACAAUUCAAUCAAUAUAUGUAAGUAUAUAGAAAUUGUGUAUUAAGGUUUACUGAUUCAAGACAUGGCAAACAUGAAAUGAGGAGUUGAGUGAGUUUGAUAAAUGUGAGACUAAUUUUUACAAUUUCUUAAUUUCUGACACAACAAUUGUGUUUUCUUAUGAUUUUUAAUUUCUUACCCUUGAAUGAAAUUUACUAAUUUUAAUAAAAAAAAUCGAAUUUUCAGAACAGUGUAAAUGUUUGCUGGCAAUUAAAGUUGAUUGAGCAGUAAAGGCAGAACCAAAAGCAAAUAAAGUUUAUUAACAAUUGAAGACCACAAAAAUUUAUGGUUUAAGUUCUAUCUUUUUGCCUUUUUUUCAUUUAUAUGAACUUUAAUUUGUUUGAUUUAUGGAAUUUUUUCUCUGAAACUCACUGAGUGGCUUCUGAUUUUUUUCAUGCUGGAAAAUGUAUUUGGUAAACUUAUAAGGAAGUAUACAUUAUAGUAAACUGAUUACUUUUUUUUGCAUUAAUUAGUUUCACGGAUUCACAUGUUUAACCUCUCAAGUAAUUUAAAAAUUCUAUCCUAAUCUUGACAUGUUUCAAGUAUUGAUUUAUUUAAACAUUGGCUUGAAAAACUACAAUUUUGACUUCUUUUUAAAGUACAUAGCUAUUAAAAUUUACCAAUUAUAGCAUCUUACUUUCAUUUUAUUUGAUUUUAAAGGAUUUCACUUUGAUGAUACAGAUGGUGAACAUGGUAUGGUGGGUGGAGUUAUAACAACUAUGACGAAUUAUAAAUUACCAUGGCAGGAUGAUCUGAUAUGACAUGCUUUUGUGGGUGAUGACGUGAACGAAAAUCUUGAGAUGGUUUAUGUUUAAGGUUGACAUUUGAAAGAAAGUUUGAUACAGCACGACAACUACUUGAUGAAAUGCUUCAACCAGGUUUUGACUUUUCAUUCCAAUAUGGGCGUGAUGGUGUGAGAGAGAGAAAGCCUACUUACAUAAACCUCAAGUCAUCAAAAGUUUUCAGAAAACAUCCAUGAAUGCUCUGGCGAAGGAGCAGAUAGCUAACCUUCAGGAGGAUCUCAAAGAAUUUCACAGUUUUGAAUUUGAUCUGUCGUGGGGCCACAAGAGGAUAGACAUUGUUGAGAAACUAACUUUUGAAACAAACAAUGUAAAGCAUUGUAAACUUUGUUGUUAUUUCAUGUUUUUUAACAAAAGGCUAUGAAAUACCCUCCAA